CGUGUGGCGAAUAAUUGAUUGAUUGUUUAUUGUUGCAAGAUUCGCCGCCUGCCUUUCCUGCAGACACCACCUCGAACCUCUCUCCUUGAGUGGAACAUCCUCAGGGGUAACAGGCCCCUCGACGGCAUACAUCUAGAAAUUGAAACACGGGUUUUGCUCCUUCUCCAACCAUCCCUGAUACCCUGCGCCCUUGUCCACCCAGCAGUGCAUGGCUACCAGGGGUAACAGGUAUGUUUGGCCGUGUAUUUUAUUGCGGCGGACGGGAUGCGAACCUGUGUGCUUCUGAAAGCUGCUCCAGCACGCCGCCACUCAGCCACCGCCUCCCUCUUGCUUAGGGAACAAAUCACAAUACAAGGUAUUUUUAAGUCCUUUCCUUUACUGUUUAGCGCAAGUUCGUGGCGGUUACUUUUAUUCCUUGCCAGGUCUGAUAUUUUCCAGUCUGUUUCCCUUUUUUUCAUGUUUUCCUCUUCACGCUCCUCACCUCGACCUUCGUUUAGGGAGUGACCUCGCUUAGCCUUCCUCUCACCUACCCUGACCUGCCCUAAUCUUACC